rnacentral:rRNA from 1 species
AGAGUUUGAUCAUGGCUCAGAAUCAACGCUGGCGGCGCGCCUAACACAUGCAAGUCGAACGAGAAAGUGGAGCAAUCCAUGAGUACAGUGGCGUACGGGUGAGUAACACGUGGAUCAUCUGCCUCUUAGUGUGGAAUAACCCUGGGAAACCGGGGCUAAUACCGCAUAAUCCCGGGAGGGGAAAGCAGCAAUGCGCUGAGAGAGGAGUCCGCGGCCGAUUAGCUAGUUGGCAGGGUAAAAGCCUACCAAGGCAAAGAUCGGUAGCCGGCCUGAGAGGGCACACGGCCACACUGACACUGAAACACGGGCCAGACUCCUACGGGAGGCAGCAGUGGGGAAUCUUGCACAAUGGGGGAAACCCUGAUGCAGCGACGCCGCGUGAGCGAUGAAGCCCUUCGGGGUGUAAAGCUCUUUCGGCAGGGAAGAUGAUGACGGUACCUGCAGAAGCAGCUGCGGCUAACUACGUGCCAGCAGCCGCGGUAAUACGUAGGCAGCAAGCGUUGUUCGGAGUUACUGGGCGUAAAGGGUGUGUAGGCGGUUGUUUAAGUUUGGUGUGAAAUCUCCCGGCUCAACUGGGAGGGUGCGCCGAAUACUGAAUGACUCGAGUGCGGGAGAGGAGAGUGGAAUUCCUGGUGUAGCGGUGAAAUGCGUAGAUAUCAGGAGGAACACCGGCGGUGUAGACGGCUCUCUGGACCGUAACUGACGCUGAAACACGAAAGCGUGGGUAGCAAACAGGAUUAGAUACCCUGGUAGUCCACGCCCUAAACGAUGCAUAUUUGGUGUGGGUCAUUCAGUUGAUCCGUGCCGGAGCUAACGCGUUAAAUAUGCCGCCUGGGGAGUACAGUCGCAAGGCUGAACUCAAAGGAAUUGACGGGGGCCCGCACAAGCGGUGGAGCAUGUGGUUCAAUUCGACGCAACGCGAAGAACCUUACCUGGGCUCGACGGCUGGUCCACCGCCGGUGGAAACAUCGGUACCG